GUGCUCACUUCAGCAGCACAUAUACUAAAAUUGAAAUGAUACAGAAAAGAUUAGCAUGGCCCCUGAACAAGGAUGAUAUGCAAAUUCGUGAAGCAUUCCAUAUUUUA
ensembl:snRNA Gm24491 predicted gene, 24491